GAUGAGAAGAUUCUUGAAGAACACUUCAUAGGUUUUGUUGUUAAAGGAACAACUAAAAUCCUACUAUGAUUUUAAAUUCAUUGUGGAAUAAUCUGUUCUAUCAUAAGAUGGAUCCACCAUAUUGCUUCAUCCAAUAGUAUUGCAAGUGUCCAUUUGUCGUAGCUGAUCUUUACCAUCUUUUCUUAAGGAUUAGGUACUAGUUGAUCUUUGCCAUUUUUUGUUAAUGAUUACAUAGUGACGUUAAAGUCUAGAAAAGUCAAAAGGAUCUUGAGGCAAAAUUUUUGCAACAUAAGACUUUGAUCUGUUGUCGAUAUUAGUUGGUAUUUUGCUUUAAGAUUUAGUUAUAUUAAAAAUUUUGGGUUCUUGGACCGCUUAGCUUCAGAUCCAAGUGUUUGUUUGAGCUUUUUAUACUAUUGAUUCAAGUGCCGAGCUUGUUCAUUUGGACGAAAUUAUCAUCUGAAUAAUCUUUUAUGCAGGCUCUUACAUAAUUCCCAAUUUUUAUGACACCAUGGUGAUGCAAGAACACUUAGGAAUGGCCCAAAAUGCGAUGAUGGACCAAAAGGGCUAAGAUGGAUGCAGAAAACAUGAUAGAUAGAAAUUUAUUGAUUUAAAUUUAAUUAAAAGCUUGGAGAAUUUGUGUUUUAAACUUUAGAAAGGUAACACUUCUAGGGAAAAAGAAGGCCUUUAAAGUUUAGGGCAAUCAAAGAUCAUCCAUAAAAGAUUUAUAACAAAAAACUCAAAUUACAAGAUUAGUUCUUUCUUCUGCUGAACGUUUGAGGAAAGGAGUGCAGGAGGUCAGAACGUAAGUGGAAAAAUUAUAAUGUAAAGAUAGCAGAAAUUUGAUCAUUUAAUCAAAUAAUCUCAGCACAAAAUAGGAAAAUCUGAUAUCAGUUUCUUUGUUAACGCAAGAAACUAAGCAUAAUAAAAUUGUAUGUUGUGAAAAAUCCACUGCAGUUUAAUGGAAAAGGAAGAAAAAUAAGACAAGGGUAAGAUAUGAUAGAUUAGGUGAGGAAAGAAACUAGAGUGGAAGAAGUAGAGAGAAACAGAGCUGUAUGGACUAAAGGUAUCAAAACGUGGCCCAAGAGAUUUUUUUUCCUCAAUCAUUCAAACCAUUCAUAUACAUCAGUUCUCAUAUUCGCUCAAUGAAAACCAUCUGGCUACAAAUGUUCCCUAACUUUCAUCUUUUAUUCUUAAAAAAUUUACAACUUAGGAUUCAAUUAAAAUCUAAUGCAUAACUUGGAAACCAAGUAAUUUGACCGCAAGAUAUUAACCCAGAAUAGGACCCUUAGAGGCUUCGUCGGAAAAAAAGGAAAACCAAAAGUAGAAGGGCUUUAAUUGGUCUUCUAUCAGAACAAUGGUAAUCUGGCAUGAGUAGUGCCAU
rnacentral:lncRNA from 1 species